rnacentral:rRNA from 1 species
GAUGAACGCUGGCGGCGUGCCUAAUACAUGCAAGUCGAGCGAACGGACGAGAAGCUUGCUUCUCUGAUGUUAGCGGCGGACGGGUGAGUAACACGUGGAUAACCUACCUAUAAGACUGGGAUAACUUCGGGAAACCGGAGCUAAUACCGGAUAAUAUUUUGAACCGCAUGGUUCAACAGUGAAAGACGGUCUUGCUGUAUCUUAUAGAUGGAUCCGCGCUGCAUUAGCUAGUUGGUAAGGUAACGGCUUACCAAGGCAACGAUGCAUAGCCGACCUGAGAGGGUGAUCGGCCACACUGGAACUGAAACACGGUCCAGACUCCUACGGGAGGCAGCAGUAGGGAAUCUUCCGCAAUGGGCGAAAGCCUGACGGAGCAACGCCGCGUGAGUGAUGAAGGUCUUCGGAUCGUAAAACUCUGUUAUUAGGGAAGAACAUAUGUGUAAGUAACUGUGCACAUCUUGACGGUACCUAAUCAGAAAGCCACGGCUAACUACGUG